rnacentral:rRNA from 1 species
UACGUAGGUGGCGAGCGUUGUCCGGAUUUAUUGGGCGUAAAGCGCGCGCAGGUGGUGCGGUAAGUCCUGUGUGAAAUCUCCCGGCUCAACUGGGGGGGUGCGGAGGAGACUGCCGGACUGGAGGCACUCAGAGGCCGGUGGAAUUCCCGGUGUAGUGGUGAAAUGCGUAGAGAUCGGGAGGAACACCAGUGGCGAAGGCGGCCGGCUGGGGGUGACCUGACGCUGAGGCGCGAAAGCGUGGGGAGCGAACCGG